rnacentral:rRNA from 1 species
UACGUAGGGGUCGAGCGUUGUCCGGAGUUACUGGGCGUAAAGCGUGCGCAGUCGGUUAUUUAAGUCGGAUGUGAAAUCCCCGGGCUCAACCUGGGAAUUGCAUUCGAUACUGGAUGGCUAGAGUUCGGCAGAGGGAAGUGGAAUUUCAGGUGUAGCGGUGAAAUGCGUAGAUAUCUGGAGGAAUACCGGUGGCGAAGGCGGCAUCCUGGACCGACAUUGACGCUGAACGGCGAAAGCUAGGGGAGCAAACGGG